rnacentral:lncRNA from 1 species
UGGCUAAUUUCUAAAAAAAUUAUAGGAAAUAUUUACAUUUUAGAAAACGCCUAUUGAAGAUCUUACACAAUCAUAUAACUUGAACUGCCCGAUCAAAGUCUUCUUUACUUUUUUGUUGUUGAAUUUUUAUAAAAUUUGUCGUUGUGUUAUGUGAAGUCGCCAUAUUAUCAGGAAUUGGUAAUGACAUUGGAUCACUUGCUCUGGUUCCAAGCACACGACCUUUUUUUUUUUUUCCCUCAGUAGCUUUGACCCAUAAUUCUAAAUUAUCAGGGAGUGUGUGUGAUCCAUUUGAUGAGUUGAUCUCAGAAUUUUCGGCUUCCAUAACAUUUCUUUGAAGCUCAUUAUACUCAGCCUAUAAAAAUGAAAAUCAAUAAUAUAUAAAUAAAUAAUAUACUUAAAUAUCUUAAAACGAAACGUUUUUAACGAAGUUUCUUAAAACGAAUCCUUAUAAUUUUAAUACCGAGAUGGGUAUGAUUUUAGUUAAUUAUAAGGGAAAAAAUCCUUAUAAAAUCCAUCCCUAAUUUCAGUUAAUUUAAUAUCUGUAUCUUUAUUGUUUAAAGUUUAAACUCUUGAUUCUACUUCAAGCAUUGGCUAUUUAACUAAUUAAUCUUUAUUUUUAAAUUUAGACUAAUGUUUUUUUAGACUAAUUUUCUGAACUAAAUGUAUUUUAGACUAAUUUUCUGAACUAAUGUUUUUUAGAUUAAUGUUUUUUUCUGAACUUAACUAAUGUUUGAAAUCCAACCAAUAUUGAAAAUCCAAAUAUGAAAUCAGGCAGUGGAAGGCUAACAAUAACUAAUGUUCUAUUGCUUACAAUACUCUCUUUUUUUGGUAAAAAAAUGAGUAGUUUGGUAGGAUAAGGAUAAAGGAUUAUGGGAAUGAGUUGCUUUUGUAUGCCAUAAUUGAAUAGCACCUUCAUAAGUUGUUCAAUCAAUGAAGUAAUCAACCAUUCCCACUGGAAUUUGGCUGUCUUUUUUUUUUAUAAUCAAUCUCUAUAUUUGGGGAAAAUAUGACAGACAUGUAUUUGGUGAAAAUUUGCCGAAAGAAAUCUCCAUUAAAACCUCCCUCAAUUACAACAUGUAUUGGGGAAAAUAGGUGAGAUUUUAAUUUAGGAAAAUGGAAAACCCAAAGAAAUUUGAAAUGGAAAAACAGUGAAAUGAAAAACCUAAAUCGAUAUUGAUUAAACAAUGACAAAGAUGGGUUGUGGAAUCUAACCUGAGUUUGAAAUAGUUUCAAAGAGGUAGUCGACGUUCGCCGAAUGGAAGCCUCGCCUUGCCGGACUGAAUUGGAGGUGUAGCCACAAGUCGACGCCGCUCGCCGGAUGGAAGUCUCGACCUUGAUGGACUGGACUAGAGGUACUCUACGUUCGCCGCUCACCGCUUGCUGCUCGCCGGAAGUUGGAAUCGCCGCUCGUCAAAGGAAAAAUAGUUGGAAUCGGGAGUGGAGUUUUAAGUUUUGGGAGUUGGAAA